CAGUCGCCACGGGAAUACGUAGGUGGCAAGCGUUGUCCGGAAUUAUUGGGCGUAAAGGGCUCGCAGGCGGUUUCUUAAGUCUGAUGUGAAAGCCCCCGGCUCAACCGGGGAGGGUCAUUGGAAACUGGGAAGCUUGAGUGCAGAAGAGGAGAGUGGAAUUCCACGUGUAGCGGUGAAAUGCGUAGAGAUGUGGAGGAACACCAGUGGCGAAGGCGACUCUCUGGUCUGUAACUGACGCUGAGGAGCGAAAGCGUGGGGAGCGAACAGGAUUAGAUACCCGUGUAGUCCCUGUCUCUUAUAC
rnacentral:rRNA from 1 species